GGGGGCGUGGCUCAGUUGAAACAGCUUCUGUUUGGCAAGCAGAAAGUCCCAGGUUCAAUCCCCUGCAUCUCCA
rnacentral:tRNA from 1 species